UCAGAAAGCUGCAGCUACAACUGACGCAGAUCUUUCAGAGGCAGUCAAUCAUUAUUCAUCAGAAGAGCGCGCCUGUGCGCGUUACCAGUGCGGUCCUGCGCUUUAAACGCAACCCAAUGCCGGCCGAGCGCGCGGGCUACAGUGCCCGCCAGCUGGAAAAGAAGAAGAAGAAAGGGAGAAAUAUUAAAUGCCAUUGCUGCAUCUGUCAAAACCAUCACAAACAACAUCAGCUGUGAUGUCCAAGAUCAUUUUCGUUACUGUGUGACCCGUUGAACGGUCAUCUAAAGCCAAUAGAAACAAGCCCCUCCCACCGGUUAUUCUUAGUGUUUGUUUGUUGUGUUCUCUCUCUCUCCGUGUUUUCGGGGGCCCCACGAGGGGCCACUUUUGAGAUGAGAGCGGCUCAAGGAAAAGAAGCAGAAAGGAGAGAAGUAUAGAGAGUGAUGCUGCCAACCUCUCAACAGGGGGCAAUCACUUUACCUGUCAACCCCUCCGCAUGUCGUCUUUCAUUUUCCGGCUCGAGGGACAAGAGAAAGCGUAUAACAGCAUUCACAGGCACCCAGAUGUUCCAUUGGCGAGUAUCUGGCACGUCGCUUUCCUGCCUUUUUAUUUCCUGUUUCUGAAUGAUGACUGAGUCGUGUAGGAGUUGACAAAAAAGUAGCAAAAGAUUAUAAAAAAAAAAGGCAAGCAUUUAGCAUUUUGCUGUGGCGGCAAAUAAAGGAUGAAUUAUUCAUUUGAACUGUCAA